AACUUUGUGCAGUGGCAGUAUCAUAGCCAAUGAGGUUUAUCAGAAGCGUAAUUGUUGCUAAUUGAGAACUAAGAGCAGAGUAGGGUUAUAGGAGUCUUAAGCUGUUUUUGUUUGCUAAUUGAUCUUACCUAUAGAAAAAG